UGGUCCUUGGCGUCGCCGUCGCGUGAAUCGGAAACGCAAACGGCGGCCCCCUCGCCGCCGCGAACGGAGAGAUUCGGGCUGCAGGACAAGGGCGCGGUGGCGUCGUGGGAACGGUCGCGCACCUCUACAACGACGCCUCCAUCCUGUCGCCGACCUCUUCGGAGAUUCUCAUCCUCCCGUUCGCGGUUCAUCACCUGAUUUCGACUGCUGAAUUGUGUGUGUGCGUGCGUGCGUGCGGCGCAGGUGGUCAAGAAACUGGCGGUAAAAUAUCCCGGGUCAACUGGCGGCGCGGUAGCUCGUCACCUCUACCCGCUCCACUACGACGAGAAACCCAUGUCAGGCUAGGGCUUUGAAGCUUGAAAUCAUCAUCACCAUCACUAGAGUCUCAAGCUAUUUUUGAAGAAUUUCAGAAAACCAGGGCCUCCAUACCAGGUGUACCAAGCGGCAAGAACAAUUCAACAAAACAUGGAGAUGCUCGAUCCUGGUUGAUUCCAUUUUGCAGGCUCAGGCCAUCAUAAAAGAAGCAACUCAUGCAACCAAUUAUCUACCAGCAAUAAGAACAACAAUAAGGACAGAUCUUGUCAUUACAGGGAAUUAGAUCUUCUCGGACGCCUCGUGGAAAAACAUGAAGAUACCAGGAAGAGAUGACUCCCAAGCAACUGGCAUUGGUCUCUUUCUUCAUGAUUCAAGCCUUGCAGAGCAAGCGCCAACACCAUUUCAUGCCGAUGCGGCAGCUCUUCUUCUUGCGACAAAGGUGGCGCGGUCGCUUCAGCUACAACAAGUUACUUUUCUGACGGACAAUCUUUCUCUUGCAAGAGCUUCAGCGACAAACUCCAUCUCCGCUCAGCAGGUUCCAUGGGAACUAAGAGACGUCAUGGCCUCCUUACAAAUUUAGAUCUUUGAGGUAUGGGAGCCAAAGACUUACCAUAACACUCAAAAGUUGAAUGUUACCCGAAAGUGAAGACAACAAAAGCUGGGAGGUUCUUGAGAAUCGUCUCGGUAGUACCGGAUCGAAUGUAGCACUCUCACAAUUUAGUUUUGACAAAAGCUGCUAAGUUGCCUCUUGAAGGUGCCAGAUGGAUUUGUCCUGGAAAUACCAGCCGUAUAUAGGAAUAUUUCUGGACACAUUUUAAUGAAGAAUCGGAGGUUCCGACUUGACCGCACUAGAAGUACCGGCAGAAAUAGAGAGUUGACAAAAACGCAUGUCUUUGCGAGUCUCAAACUCACAUGGUCUGACUAACCGAGAUGGAGAAACAUGGAGGUACCGAGUAAGUGUUAAAAAUGUGAGUUUGGAGAUUUUUUUCAAGUAGAUUUUGAACGAAACUCUGUAGGGUAUGUAUAUGUGGGAUCAUUUCUCGUUAUGCUUUGUGAUGUGCUCUUUUCGUAGUACGCCACACCCAGCAUGAUCCACUUUUGCGAUAUCCCUGAUCAAAGGAUGUUAAAAAGAAGAACUGGUCAUGGCUUGAUGAUAGAGAACUAAAAUCUGCAAACUUUGCACAAAAUUGGUUAGUUCCCUGAGAUUGCCUUGUCAUGAAUAAUCCAAAAGAUCUUUGGGAUCAAGAUACGCUUUCAUGGGCUCCUCCUGGAUCACCUGCGGCAGCGACACGGGAGAGAAGAAAUAUUCUGGAGAAGAGCCAAGUGAAGUAACACCAAAAUUUUCAAGUGCAGGCUCAAAAUGUAAGGAUUUUGACGGUGCCCCUGGUCCUUCUGUAUUUAUUAGUUACUCAAAUAUUUUGGUGCAUUUUGCAGAUGGAAAUUUUCGCAUGCAGCAUUUUUUUUGUCUAACUCAUGAUGUGUUCCGUUAAUUAGAGUUAUCUGAAACAUUGAAUGGUUUCUUAAUUAGUCUGCUCAGAUAUAUCAAGAACUGAUUGUUCGAGGAAACCAUAAGGAACGGUCUUUAUUAUGAACUGUGAAGUUGUAGUCAUCUGUAUAGCUAUCAAUCAACGUAUCUUAUCUUUGUUAUGUGUA